UUAGCCUUUUAAUUGGAGGCUCGUAUGAAUGAUUCCACAUUUUAAUUUCUUUUUUCCUUAAAAAAAGAAAUUUAAUUAAAUAUUAAAAUGUAUUUAUAAAAAAAUUAGACGACAAGACCCUGUUAAACUUUACUUUAGUUAAGCUGGGGAAGCUAUUUAAAUAUAAUUUUAAUACUAUUAAUUUUAAGCCCAUCCAAUAAAAUUGAUUAAUAAGUUACUAUAGGGAUAACAGCGUAAUAUUUUUCAAAAGCUCUUAUUUAAAAAAAAGUUUACGACCUCGAUGUUGAAUUAAUAUUCUUUAAGAUGCAAUCAUACUAAAAGAAAGUCUGUUCGACUACUAAAUAAUUACAUGAUCU
rnacentral:rRNA from 1 species